rnacentral:rRNA from 1 species
AGCGAACGCUGGCGGCAGGCUUAACACAUGCAAGUCGAACGGGCAUAGCAAUAUGUCAGUGGCAGACGGGUGAGUAACGCGUGGGAACGUACCUUUUGGUUCGGAACAACACAGGGAAACUUGUGCUAAUACCGGAUAAGCCCUUACGGGGAAAGAUUUAUCGCCGAAAGAUCGGCGCGCGUCUGAUUAGCUAGUUGGUAGGGUAAUGGCCUACCAAGGCGACGAUCAGUAGCUGGUCUGAGAGGAUGAUCAGCCACAUUGGGACUGAGACGCGGCCCAAAAUCCUACGGGAGGCAGCAGUGGGGAAUAUUGGAACAUGGGGGAAAGCCUGAUCCAGCCAUGCCGCGUGAGUGAUGAAGGCCGUAGGGUUGUAAAGCUCUUUUGUGCGGGAAGAUAAUGACGGUACCGAAAGAAUAAGCCCCGGCUAACUUCGUG